AUCAUUUUAACACAACUACUACUUGUACUAAAAAAUAAAAAUAAAAUACUGUAAAAAGGACCUAAAACAAGUUGGCCGAUAUUACACUAGUAGAGUAGUAGUAUACAAGUAUAUAAUUGUAUAUGGAGUUUCAAAGUACACUGUAAAGACGAUCAGCUUUGUGAGCUCAGUCGUGCAUUGGCUGUUCUGGCUUCCGCAUCAUCAGUGAGCAGGGAACGGGAGGAAUUCUUGAGACUUGAAUGAGGUAAGUGAACAGUUGGAACUAGUUUCUUCAAACUAACUUUUCCACCACUUUAGGACGCAGGAUUUAUGUCUCUAAUUCUCUUUUCCAGAUAGAGUUAUACAAUACUACGGUGGACAAGGAGGUAGGGGUGAGCACGGAUCGGAUAUCCGAUCCAACAUUCAUUUUCGGAUCGGAUAACCGUAUCCAAAAAUUCAAAUAUUUGAUAUCCAUAUCCGAUAAAUCAAAUAUCCGAAAUAUUCGGAUCGGAUGGUUCAGAUAUCCAAUAUCUGAUCAAUUUGAUAAUAUUGUUCAAAUUUUAAUUUUUUUUUUGGUUUUUACAGGAAAAUUGAUUUAUUGAACUUAAAAGUCCUUUCAUCUUUGUCAAGUAUCUUAACAUUCAUGACUACAAAAACAAACUCGUAUAUAAUUCUUCAAAUUUUUUGAAUAUAAAUAUCCCACAAAUUCCAAAAUCUAAAUGAUUAAAACCCAAAUAAAAAAAAAAAAAAAAAAAAAACAAAUCAGAAUCGAAAUCAAAGUACUCGGAAAAAUAUGAGUCAUAUACAAAGAAAUCGGGAAAAACGAAAUUAAUUUAUAUGAAUAAUCUGUAAAUAAACGUAGAUGUCUAUUCUCCGUUCACACGAUUCUCAUAACAGUAGAACGAACGGUGAAAAUGAAACCAAAAAGUCGCUUUUGAAUGAACGGUGAGAACAAGCGAAACCGCAAAGCCGCCUGAACAAGUGAGUGAAGCACUGAAGCCGCAAAGGUGCCUAACUGAAGGAAUGAAACUGCUAAGGUACUAAAAACUACUAAACUAGCUAUUAAUAAGAUCUGAGAUAUUGAGAUUUAAAUUUCAGAAAAUGAAAGGAGAGAGAAAGUUAGAGAGAGAGAGAGAGAGAGAUAUGAGGAAGGGAGAGAGAGAGUUAGAGAGAUGGUGAGAAAAGAGGCGGUAGGGGCUGGGGGGAGCUUUUGAGGGAAUUAGGGUUAGUUGGUUUGGGCCUUGGGCCUUUGAGGAAAGCAUUUCUUCACCAAAACAUAGCGCGUAACAAUAAGUGAUUUUUUGGAUUUCGGAUAUCCGAAAUCUAAAAUUUGGAUAUCUGAUAUCUGAUUUUUUCGGAUCGGAUAUCCGAUUUGAAAUCUAUUUCGGAUCGGGUAUCCAUAUUUUUCGGAUCAGAUGUGGAUCGGAUCAUCGGAUUUUUGGAUUUUCAGAUAGUUUUGCUCAGCUCUACAAGGAGGGCAAAGAGGGGGGAAGCUGAAUCUACGGAGGCAUACAAAGCUGCCCGGGAGGGUGAUGAAGAAGAGUUAGAUACUGCUCAAGUUUCUUCAGCACUGAUAAACAAGGUGGAUGCUAUUCUUCAAAAACUUGAAAAAGAAAUUGAUGAUGUGGAUGAGAAGAUUGGUGGUGAAUGGCGAUUGCUUGAUAGGGAUUACGAUGGGAAGGUGACUCCAGAAGAAGUAGCUUCUGCUGCUGCAUAUCUGAAAAACAAAAUUGACAAAGAUGGUAUCCAAGAGCUCAUCAACAAGCUGUCAAAAGACAGAGAGGGGAAGAUACUUGUUGAAGACAUUGUUAGGCUAGGCAGUCAGAAGCAUGGUGAGGAAGCUGAAUCUGAAAGAUGAAUAGAUUCAAGAUUUAUCCACUUUAGAAGUAAAUAUUUAUUGAAUGCUUAACUAUUAGCUUAGGUAGAACAACGUAAUAUUUUUAGUAUUGUUGUAUAUGUUGGAUAAAUUUAUACAAGUUUUUAUUUGUAAUGUGUUACUACUUCAGUUUUU